AAGGCAGCAGGGCUGCACCCUCAGCUCCUUCUGCAGCCAAUAACAAGAUGCUUGAAACACCUGCUGCAGUUGGUACGCUCCCGGACAGCUAUGCACAAAUCUACUAUAACUUCAGAUUGGGCCCUACCAAAGUCACAACCGUACAGCUGUUACAGAAAGCUUGACAGCUAUGCAAAAAGGGUAAGUUUAAAAAAUAAAUAAAUCCUAACAGCGUAUUAUAAAAGUUGAAGUCUCGCAGUUACAUAACUUUCCCUCUGAACUAUCACUGAGCAGUUUGUUAUUUUAGAUUAGCUGCUAUAAAUAUAGGUCACGCUAAGCAAAUGUCAGUGCUAUCUAUUGUAAAGAACCGUCUCAAAUUAAAUGCUGUAAAACCCAUACGUCUGGGUAGGACGGAGACGGACAAAGACUGCCAGCACAGAAGAAACAUCAGAGACCACAGCGGUUGCCAUCAAGUUUAAAAUAACAAAUAACUGCGACUGUCAUUCAGUCGCACACAGCACAGGGUUGGGUGCUAGAGCUGGGCUAACACCAAGGAAGAGCAAUUAGCAAAAAUCCUUCUCCGAAUGAGAACAAGAGGGCUCGCUAAGUCGGACAUGUACUCAACCAGGAACUCAUCAUCAUCAUCACCUUUUUGCAUUUCUCCUUCCAAGUAAUUAUGGCAGUCUCACCAACUACCACACAGCCACUACGGUUUCCUGAAGACCGUGUUUUUCCUCAAGCAAGUAACAAAUCCAUUUACUGCUCAAUACAGGACUGUACAACCAAAGAGACAGCACCUGUGCAGAAAUCAGGUUUUCUAAGAGAUAAAGGUUAUGAGCAGCAUUCUGCAGGAAUUCCUUCCAGCUGCAAACAGACAGCAUAAGAGGCAGGGGGAAAACGGGGAGCGUGGAGGACAGGAGCACCCAUCUCAGCCCUCCCGCUCCGGGCUGCUUUGGUCGCGCUGCCCAAGCACUGCUCAGUGCGACUGACCUCUUCUGAGCUAACGAAGAGGUUCCAGUGAUUUCCAUUCUCAAUUCGCUGACUUCUAUUUACUACAGGAUAAGCUGUGUCACAGCAGACCUGGUAACGGUGUCCUUACAAUACUCCACCACACGCUUCCUUUGAUAGGAACAGUGCCACUGCACAGACAAAACAGUGCCUGCAAGAAAUAAGGAGCAGGAUAAAAACCAGAUGGCUGAAGUUAAGUACAGGACGACAGAAGCAAGGCUUGUAGGGAGGAGAAAUCAUUUUGAUGAGCCACGACUGUGAACACGGCUCUGCACACAAAGGGAACACAGCCUGCCACAACACAGCCUGCACCAGCAUAAAUAUCAGGACAGUCUGACGGAAAUAUUGCUGCCUGCACCACCUGAAGGCCACAUUCUCUUCAAUACAAGUACCAGAUGAACACGGCACACAUUUUUGUAAUUUAACAUCAGAUUAACACAGCUUCAGCUGCUCAGAUGACUACCUGUCAGCCACAAUCAAAGCCAGCAUUUGGAACGUCGCGAAGCAAUCUACAAUGUGAACCACGAGCGCCUGAGCUCCGUUCCAGCACACCAGCACCUACACGACCUCUUCCAGCCUCAGUAGUGACCAGCAUGGCUCUGAGGUCCCAGUUCCCCACCCACGCCGUGGUGAAUGUCAGUAAGAACGAAAACAGAAACACCUGUGCACACUGAGUAUUUAACACUGUCCCCAAGGCAGUUUACAUCCCACUGCAUUUUAAAUCUUACCGUACAACAUGAACCCUAAAUAAGAACUCAGUACAGGAGAACUUCAAGUAUACUAUAAUUCAGUUUUUUUUUUUCCCCUGACAUUGCUACAGCUUAAGAAAGAAAACACAAUGAACUUGAAACAUUUCAGUCAACACUUUUAAAAACAUACCAUUUAUCACCACCUACAUAGCCUCAAGAUGAAACUUUUAGGAAUUGAAAGCAAGAUCUCCUUGACAUUGCUUCCUAAAGCAUAGCAAAAGUAUUGUCACAUUAGAAUUAGAUUAUUUUUUUUCAUUAGCAGGCUGAGCGUUAUAGGUAGCAGGCAACAAUCCCAUAAGGUUGUGCGAGGAACUUGUCUUGGGACUGCUCCCCGUACCAUUUCCAUAAAGGAAUUUCCACAAUAAAAAACCGAUAAUGCUUUAAAAUAGCACCUAUUAAAAAGAUCCAAGUCAUGUUUUGAAAGCAGGGUUGUUGUUUUUCGGAAGGCAGAAAAUAAUCAUCAAGCACUCGCGUAUCUUCAAAGACCCUGGAGGGAUCCAGUGUUUCUCUGCACUACAGAUUCUUAACUGACCUGGAAAACACAAAGCUUCUUCAUGGAACAGAUGACAUGAUCCUCCACAGAUGCUGAAAACUGGCAAGAGCAAUACAAAAAGGGCAUGUCGCUGACUACCACUGCAGCCAACAUAUUAACAUGACUAAGAGGAGUCCAACGAUUAAAAAGGAAGAUGAAAUAGAGCAGUGGGAGAUUCUAUUUUACCACGCUGGCAACUUUGAAGGGACUGAAGCAGCUUCAUAGGGCCAGGUUGUGGCCAGGAACCCAACACUCCCUGCAGUUCUCUGUGAAACAGGGAACCUGGAGCCUCAGGCCCCACAGAGAUCUUCUUAACAUCGAUAUAAUUGCUUAAAGAAUGCACUGUCUGCAGUUCAAGGAGAAUGACAAUAUAUUGGAGGGCACCCAGGAGAAAACAAAAUAAAUGAAGUUAAAAAAAAAAAAAA